AUUGAACGCUGGCGGCAGGCCUAACACAUGCAAGUCGAACGAGUGGCGGACGGGUGAGUAAUGUCUGGGAAAAUGCCUGUGGAGGGGGAUAACUACUGAAACCGGUACCUAAUACCGAAUACAAUCGGAUGUGCCCAAAUGGGAUUGGCUUGUUGGUGGGGUAACGGCUCACCAGGGCGACGAUCCCUCGCUGGUCUGAGAGGAUGACCAGCCACACUGGAACUGAGACACGGUCCAGACUCCUACGGGAGGCAGCAGUGGGGAAUAUGGCACAAUGGGCGCAAGCCUGAUGCAGCCAUGCCGCGUGUAUGAAGAAGGCCUUCGGGUUGUAAAGUACUUUCAGCGGGGAGGCGUUACCCGCAGAAGAAGCACCGGCUAACUCCGUGCCAGCAGCCGCGGUAAUAC
rnacentral:rRNA from 1 species